AGGAGAGUCCAAACCCACCAACAUACAUGAUCCUCAGUCCUUUUAAUAAAGCACGUUCAACCCUUCUCAGAGUGGCCUUGGGUGGUUGCCUCCAAGUGCCGUGCAGAGGCAAAAAGGAAGGCAGUUCAGGGCCCUAAUCAGAGGCUUCCUGGCAGGACAAGGUCCUGGCAUCAGCAUUUGCUGCUGCAACUCUGAAGUGCAGGGUGCGAGACUACUGUGGGACUGCCCCCUCCGAGGGCUGAGCCGGCUGACUCCAGGGUCAGCUUCCUGGACAUUUGCAGUGCCUCUGCUGCAGGCUUGAGCUCUCCAUGCCCCUGGCUGUCUUCUGCAGACGGCCUGCUCUCAGCUGCCACAGAGGGCGCUGGAGAACGGGCCUGAGCAGAGAAGCAGGAGCUCCUCUGCAGGUCCUCCCAGCACCACCCCUCUGAGAGGAAGGUUUGGGAGUCCCGCAAGGUAGAUCCUCAGUCACUUCUCUCUGCCUGUGACUCAAGAAGACCAGCUCCCCCCACUGCCGUCUGUGCCAGAGAUCACUUCCUUGUUGAGUAGAACCUGAGUUUUGAGAGGGUCUUCUGCUCCUCUUCAUCUGGUCCCUUUCCUUCCACAACCCCAGAGAGGAAGGCAUGCGGUGGACCCUAGCCGUGCUUCUAGCUUUCCUGUCUCCUGAUAAACACCUUGAUGCAGAUGUUUCACCCAAGCCCACUAUAUUUCUUCCUUCCAUUGCUGAAACAAACCUCCAUAAGGCUGGAACAUACCUUUGUCUUCUUGAGAAUUUUUUCCCCGAUGUUAUUAAGAUACAUUGGCAAGAAAAGAAGAGCAACACGAUUCUGGGAUCCCAGGAGGGGAACACCGUGAAGACUAACGACACAUACAUGAAAUUUAGCUGGUUAACGGUGCCAGAAAAGUCACUGGAUAAAGAGCACAGAUGUAUCGUCAGACAUGAGAAUAAUAAAAAUGGAGUUGAUCAAGAAAUUAUCUUUCCUCCAAUAAAGACAGAUGUCACCACAAUGGAUCCCAAAGACAAUUGUUCAAGAGAUGCAAAUGAUGCACUACUGCUGCAGCUCACAAACACCUCUGCAUAUUACAUGUACCUCCUCCUGCUCGUCAAGAGUGAGGUCUAUUUUGCCAUCAUCGCCGUCUGUCUGCUUAGAAGAACGGCUGUCUGCUGCAAUGGAGAGAGAUCGUAACAGACGGUGGCACAAGGACGCCAUCUUUUUCUCAUCGGCUAUUGUCCCUAGAAGUGUCUUCUGAGGAUCUACUUGGGCUUUCUUUCCGGGUUUGGGCUAUUUCAGUUCUCAUGUGUGUACUAUUCUAUCAUUGUUGUAUAAUGGUUUUCAAACCAGUGGGCACACGGAAAACCUCACUCUGUGAUGACAAUGAGGAAUAGCCAUGGCGGUCUCCAGCACCACUCUCUCCAUAUUCUCCACAGCUCCUCCAGCCAACCCAAAUAGCCACUGCCAUGGUGUAGACAGUCCGCGGCUUCUAGCCUUGUCCCUCCCUUAGUGUUCUUUAAUCAGAUAACUGCCUGGAAGCCUUUCAUUUUACACACCCUGAAGCAGCCUUCUUUGCUAGUUGAAUUAUGUGGUGUGUUUUUCAUAAUAGGCAAAAUAAAUUUUAAAAGAUGAAAAGUUGA